UUGUCAUCUAGCAGUAGUAACGAUAAAACAUUUAUUGUAUUCAUUAUUCAUAUUUCUUAGUUAUUAUAUUUCUGUAGGUCAUUGAAAAGUAAGACAUAAAUCGAAGAAUAAAUUGUUAAUUUGAUGAAGUUAUCGUGUUAUAAGUCAAUAAAAUAAGAUCAACCAUCGUCUAGAGCUCGCGUAUAUAUUUUUCUACACAAGGAAAAAAAAACUGUCACAGUGCAAUGAAGUGUAAUAUAAAAAAAAAAAAAAACACCGAAAGUGCACUAGAGUUCCAAGUGGAAUAUAAAAAUGUACCUGCACCAGCACGCUGCCGGUACAGUCAAGUGGGAAACGCUAUAGACAAUACGGUUUUUAUUUGUUCCGUUUGAGUUUUAAAAAUUUAACAUUCGAAAUACUUGUUCAUUUUUUCUCACUAAACAUAGUUGAUAUCCAACGAAUCGGCCAUUCAAUUAUCGUUUAACUAUGUAUAGUCUCUCUAUAUACUUUGUAUACUUUACGUGUAAUGUAGGUCGUAUAAACUGUAACGUUCAGGUAAUGUAAGGAGCGAGGAUACACUGCAGAAUGUGUUUAAUUCGGUUCGGUCACAUAUUUCGAACGCGUGAUGAUGGAUCAGUCGAGAUAUUCACUAACCGGAGACCGGUAUCUUUCCGUUUACGUUAGGAAAGUCGGUCCCUGAAUUCAACGAACAUUUCCUACUUGUAUGUAACGUAUAUUCAAUGAUGUGAUUUCGAUCACUCUGUGUAAAAAUAAAAUUCGAAAUAAAUAAUCAUUGUAAAAUCCGUUAAUUUUGAUUGGACGAAUAAUAUUAAAAUUCACGAUUCCGGUUCGGCUCCAAUCCCCCCCCCCGCCGUUUGAAUCGCGGUCCUUUCCGUUCGGUCGCCUGAACUGCUCCAUCCGUUCGGCCACUGGUCAAAUGACAAUCUUGCUAAUACUUCACAGUCGAGGUUGUGACGGGCUGUGUGGAAACUGACUGACGUGAACGCGGGAGGGUAGGUUAAAUCGAACAAAAUUAUCCAUCUCGGUAAUGCGUGCAUAUAAUAUAAUAAUAAUUAUUAUACGUUUUACAACAUUCAAUUGAACGCGACUGAACACGUCCGGCUGUGCUCGCUCCUCGAAGGAAUUCGAAAUGGAACUAGGGUUCUCUAGUCUUUCUCCGUCUAACGUCCGCGCCAUACACGCAGUGUAACAAUUCGGACAGAUUUUUUUGUCCACGAAAACAGAUUGGAAUUCGAUGCGAAAUGUAUUACACACUCGAAAUUGACCGGGCCAUUUUUUUUCAAUUUAUUUGUUGUUGUUUUUUUUUUUUUUUCGAUUUUUGUAUAAGUACAUUUUUAUGUAUUUUCUAAUCGAAUUCUUUGAAAUCAAGGACUGAAAAUGGAAAAAGUGACCCGACCGAUCUCACGCGUAUACACACAUAUUCUACCGGAUUCAAAUUUGAUAUUGUAUUUUCGGAACAUACUCCGAUCGCUACAUCAUGUGGACCGAAAAUCGGUAUACAAUGUUACCCUGCGUACUUGUAUUGUACGUGUCAUAUACACGGAUGAGAUAACAGAAUCCCCGUUUCGUUUCGAAUCCACUUCUAUUUACAUGUAUGACCAUUUUUUUUUUUUUUUCUACUAUCGGACACAAUCAUUAUUGUACUUAAAUACCAAAUAUUUUAAUAAUAAUUUAAUUUACUAACGUAUUAACCAUAAUAUUAUUAUACACAUAUAUAUAUAUAAUAUAAAUAAUUGUUUUAUAAUAUAUUCUAUGUUUCGUUACGCGCAUGCGUGCGACAAACUAGAGGAGUCGUAUUAUUAUAUUAUUAUAAUAGGUCUGUGCGGUUUAAAUAAAUAAAAUAAUAACUGUUGCACACGUUUCUGUAAGUUUUAGGUACUCGUAUUAUUAUAAUAUAAUAAUAUUCGGCUAAUAAAAUAUUUAGAUUUUUUUUUUUUU